rnacentral:rRNA from 1 species
AUUGAACGCUGGCGGCAGGCCUAACACAUGCAAGUCGAGCGAGCGGCGGACGGGUGAGUACUGUAUGGGGACUGCCCGAUAGAGGGGGAUAAGUACUGGAAACGGUAGCUAAUACCGCAUACUAUCGGAUAACCGAUAUGGGAUUAGCUAGUAGGUGAGGUAAUGGCUCACCUAGGCGACGAUCCCUAGCUGGUCUGAGAGGAUGAUCAGCCACACUGGGACUGAGACACGGCCCAGACUCCUACGGAGGCAGCAGUGGGGAAUAUUGCACAAUGGGCGCAAGCCUGAUGCAGCCAUGCCGCGUGAAUGAAGAAGGCCUUCGGGUUGUAAAGUACUUUCAGUCGGGAGGCGUUACCGAAAGAAGAAGCACCGGCUAACUCCGUGCCAGCAGCCGCGGUAAUAC